AUUGAACGCUGGCGGCAGGCCUAACACAUGCAAGUCGAGCGGAUGAAGGGAGCUUGCUCCUGGAUUCAGCGGCGGACGGGUGAGUAAUGCCUAGGAAUCUGCCUGGUAGUGGGGGAUAACGUCCGGAAACGGGCGCUAAUACCGCAUACGUCCUGAGGGAGAAAGUGGGGGAUCUUCGGACCUCGCGCUAUCAGAUGAGCCUAGGUCGGAUUAGCUAGUUGGUGGGGUAAAGGCCUACCAAGGCGACGAUCCGUAACUGGUCUGAGAGGAUGAUCAGUCACACUGGAACUGAGACACGGUCCAGACUCCUACGGGAGGCAGCAGUGGGGAAUAUUGGACAAUGGGCGAAAGCCUGAUCCAGCCAUGCCGCGUGUGUGAAGAAGGUCUUCGGAUUGUAAAGCACUUUAAGUUGGGAGGAAGGGCAGUAAGUUAAUACCUUGCUGUUUUGACGUUACCAACAGAAUAAGCACCGGCUAACUUCGU
rnacentral:rRNA from 1 species